rnacentral:lncRNA from 1 species
GCCCGGGUUUUGAGAGCGAGUGAAGGGGCUCGCUUGUGUUAGCCCACGAGCGCCGGGAAACGCCCAAAGGUGUAGCGUUGAGUGGGCUAGGCCGGGAAGGUCGCUAACAAUUGGUAUCAGAGGCAGACAGUCGCCAUACCGCCCAAAAAGGGGAUGGGAUGUCAGGAGCCUAGCCGUUAGCGCCCGGCUUUAGUACCACCUCGCUAGCCGGAGGGGGCCGUGGUGAGCUUAUAAGUGAGAUUUCCCCUCCUCUCACAGCCCGGGUUUUGAGAGCGAGUGAAGGGGCUCGCUUGUGUUAGCCCACGAGCGUUGGGAAACGCCCAAAGGUGUAGCGUUGAGUGGGCUAGGCCGGGAAGGUCUCGCUUGUGUUAGCCCACGAGCGCUGGGAAACGCCCAAAGGUGUAGCGUUGAGUGGGCUAGGCCGGGAAGGUCGCUGACAUGGCGGCGGGUAGGAUUGGGGAGGAGGCGACCAGAUGGAGACGAGCCGUGAGGAGGUCUGCGGAUGGAGGCAUAAAAGGGAAAAGAACUAUAGCAAAUAUUGUAAUUUUCAUUAACAUAAUGG